AUUUAAAUAGUUUAUAAAAAUAUUGACUUGUGGCGUCAAAGAUAUGGAUUCCAUUUUAAAUC
rnacentral:tRNA from 1 species